rnacentral:lncRNA from 1 species
AGGGCAUCCGAGGGUUUACCUUUUUGUGCCAACGAACAUGUCUCGAUGAUUGAAGAUUCUAUAUUUUGUUGAGAAUAUUGGCUGAUCAGUUUUUGCAAGAUUUCCAAUUGUUCUUUGCUGAACAGGCUUGACUGGGAUACGGCUAGGUUCUCGCUAAUUAAGGCCAAGUUUCCACAUCAUUCUCUAUCAUAGUAUGGUCGGGACGGUUUCCCAUGAAGCUUCCAGCAAGUCUCCUUUGUGUGACCCGAUCGUCGGCAAUGGUGCAACCAUUGCCUUUCCUUUUUCUGACGAUUAUUAUUGUUGGCAAAUUGAGUUCCUCGGGCAGCAAGUGCUGAAGUCUCAAGUGUUGGUAUGGUGUUAUCGGAUCCCAUCAUCACCUUUUUUCUACUCUCCUCUCGACGGACUUUUGAGAAUGCAGUCCGAAUGUCGGAAAGGGGUUUUGUCCCUAGUACACAUCCCCUAACUUCAUCAAGGUUUUUGUUGAGACCUAGAAGGAAUUUGAAAAUUCGUUUCUUUUCAACAAUUGAUUUGUAUCUGAGUUCAUCUUGUGGGCAGGACCACUCAAUUUCUUAGAACAUGUCUAGGUGUUGCCAAUAACGAGUGAGUGUAUUGAAAUAUUGAGUGACUGUUAGAUCUCCUUGAUGUAGGUUAUGGAGAAUGGUUUCUCCUUUGUGUGACCCGAUCGUCGGCAAUGGUGCAACCAUUGCCUUUCCUUUUUCUGACGAUUAUUAUUGUUGGCAAAUUGAGUUCCUCGGGCGGCAGGUGCUGAAGUCUCAAGUGUUGGUAUGGUGUUAUCUGAUCCCAUCAUCACCUUUUUUCUACUCUCCUCUUGACGGACUUUUGAGAAUGCAGUCCGAAUGUCGGAAAGGGGUUUUGUCCCUAGUACACGUCCCCUAACUUCAUCAAGGUUUUUGUUGAGACCUAGAAGGAAUUUGAAAAUUCGUUUCUUUUCAACAAUUGUUUUGUAUCUGAGUUCAUCUUGUGGGCAGGACCACUCAAUUUCUUCGAACAUGUCUAGGUGUUGCCAAUAACGAGUGAGUGUAUUGAAAUAUUGAGUGACUGUUAGAUCUCCUUGAUGUAGGUUAUGGAGGAUGGUUUCUAUUUCAAACAAUGCAACUGUGUUCUCAUUCUUUGAAUAUGUCUCUUUGGCUAUAUACCAGAGUUCUUUU